rnacentral:rRNA from 1 species
GUCCACGCUGUAAACGAUGCACAUUCGGUGCUAGAGAGUAUCGACCCUCUUUAGUACCUAAGCUAACGCGGUAAAUGUGCCGCCUGGGGAGUACGGCCGCAAGGCUAAAACUCAAAGGAAUUGACGGGGACCCGCACAAGCGGUGGAGCAUGUGGUUUAAUUCGACGAUAAGCGAGGAACCUUACCAAGGCUUGACAUGUACCUGCAUACACUGGAAACAGUGUAGCCUUCGAGGGUGGUACACAGGUGCUGCACGGUCGUCGU